UGAAACAACACCCACGUCUUUUUGACAAUUCAGUAAUACCCACGUUCUUGUGUGGAACUGCGCUAUUGUUUAACGGUUGGUGAGAAGUUACUUUUUACCCCUUAGUUUGACAAUUCUAUAAUAACCACUUUAAUUUGUGUUGCCUUUAUGGGCACAUCGUAUGUCGGAGCCAUUUCAUGGUCGAUUCUCUAUUUAAACUAGCAGCGGUAGUAAACCAAAGCCUCAAGUGCUAAGAUUAUUAUCACGCUAGCUUGCUAUGUGGGGAAAGUGAAGGACUACGCCAUUGAAAAUGAUGUGAAGCGGUAAGAUUUUGGCUUAGUACGGAUAUUGAAGAUGUUCUCUUCUGCUGCUUCUUCUACCAAGAAUCAACAAGAAGACUAAUGACCACUUCUCUGAAAGUGUUCUUCUGAGAAGGUAAGAAGAACAUAAGUAACCAUAUCAGUUUUCAAAUUUCAAAUCCGAUAAACUUCUACAGACUGCAAAACAUGGCUGCACAUAAUGACUUUAUCAGGGAGACAUCAAUUUCAAAAUGCAACGGACCUUGAAGGAUGGUGUUGUACAACUCAUUCUUGAUUGAAUUGAUUCUACAAUGAUAAGCUUUUUUCAUAUCACCUUGCGGAGUAUGUUUGUUGUGUUAUGAGGGUGUCUCCUUUCAGAUACUACUGCGACAUGAUAUUUGAAGUAAUGAGAAAUGAUAUAGCUUCCUAUAUGCUAGCUUAGAAUUGACUAUAGAGAUUUGAGGGUGUAUUUUCUUUGCUCAAAACUUGAAGUAUAGAGUUUGAUGUUGUAUAGCAUACUUGAAUAUGUUGUAAAUCUCUUUGCUUAAGAUGAGCUUAAGAUGAUUACACUUCUUAACCAAAAAUAACUAUAACUUUCCUCUGGGUAUCUGUGACAGCUUAUAUGCAGCUUAAAUGCUUGCAGUAUCAAUUGCUAAU